UUUUCUCUGAGUUCUGUUUCUCUCCUCCAUUUACUCUGCCUAUCUGAAUGGACCCUAACUAGAUAUCUAAUUAUUAAUGGGAAGGAAAAGGUAAGCUGCUACC